AAUAAAAAACAAACAAACAAAAGAAGUGUAACAGAUAGAAAGGACUCUUUUCUUAAUUUGCAGUGAUACCCAAGCAUUGUGAACAAGCUCUGUCAACACCAUCUGCUCCACAAAGGAAAGCUGCUGAUUAUUGCAUCUCUAAGUGGAGUCGAUUCUCUCCCAUGAUAGCAGAAGGUUGAAGAAAGAAAAUGGCAAAAUAGAAAAGUCCAUGCUUACAGAAACCAGGGGAGUAGGAGGAAGAAAUUCUGUCUUCACGAUACAGAAAACAUCUGCAUUGGAUGGCGACAUCGUCAUUUCCCUCUCCAGAUCCAGUUCCACUCUUCCUUCCUUGAUGCGCGGAUGGAGACUUAUGCAGAUGCCAUCCCCAUACUUUCUGCUUCUAGC
rnacentral:lncRNA from 1 species